rnacentral:rRNA from 1 species
AGCAGCCGCGGUAAUUCCAGCUCCAAUAGCGUAUAUUAAAGUUGCUGCAGUUAAAAAGCUCGUAGUUGAAUUUCGGGGUUAGUAGGUUGGUCAUGCCUCUGGUAUGCACUGGCCUCACUGAUUCCUCCUUCCUGAUGAGCCGUAAUGCCAUUAAUUUGGUGUUGCGGGGAAUUUGGACUGUUACUUUGAAAAAAUUAGAGUGUUUAAAGCAAGCUAACGCUUGAAUACAUUAGCAUGGAAUAAUGAAAUAGGACGUUCGAUCCUAUUUUGUUGGUUUCUAGGAUUGACGUAAUGAUUAAUAGGGAUAGUUGGGGGCAUUAGUAUUCAAUUGUCAGAGGUGAAAUUCUUGGAUUUAUUGAAGACUAACUACUGCGAAAGCAUUUGCCAAGGAUGUUUUCAUUAAUCAAGAACGAAAGUUAGGGGAUCAAAGACGAUCAGAUACCGUCGUAGUCUUAACCAUAAACUAUGCCGACUAGGGAUCGGAUGAUGUUAAUUUUUUAAUGACUCAUUCGGCGCCUUA